GAGUAAUACGUAGGUAACCCGCCUUGGAGUGGGAAACAACUUGCCGAAAGGCGAGCUAAUGUCCCAUGUGGUAGUGAGGCGCGAGUUUCAUUACUAAAGCUUUCGGGCGCUCCAAGAGGGGCCUGCGUCUGAUUAGCUAGUUGGUAAGGUAACGGCUUACCAAGGCGAUGAUCAGUAGCUGGUCUGAGAGGAUGGCCAGCCAGAUGGGGACUGAGACACGGCCCCAACUCCUACGGGAGGCAGCAGCAAGGAAUUUUGGGCAAUGAGCGAAAGCUUGACCCAGCGACACCGCGUGAGGGAAUAAGGCCUUCGGGUUGUAAACCUCUUUUCCUGGGGAAGAAUCUCGACGGUACCCAGGGGAAUAAGCCUCGGCCAACUACGUGCCAGCAGCCGCGGUAAUACGCAGGAGGCGAACGUUAUUCGGAUUUACUGGGCGUAAAGGGAGCGUAGGCGGUUCCUCAAGUCGAGUGUGAAAUCUUCUGGCUUAAUCGGAAGGCGCCAUUUGAUACUGAGGGACUUGAGAGCAGCAGAGGGAAACGGAAUCUCCAGUGUAGCGGUGAAAUGCGUAGAUAUUGGAGAGAACACCAGUGGCGAAGGCGGUUUCCCAGGCUGUUUCUGACGCUGAGGCUCGAAAGCGUGGGGAGCGAAGCGGAUUAGAUACCCGCGUAGUCCACGCCCUAAACAGUGGACACUAGAUAUAGGAGGUAUCGACCCUUUCUGUGUCGAAGCUAACGCUUUAAGUGUCCCGCCUGGGGAGUACGGCCGCAAGGCUGAAACUCAAAGGAAUUGACGGGGGUCCGCACAAGCAGCGGAGCGUGUGGUUUAAUUCGAUGCUACACGAAGAACCUUACCAGGACUUGACAUGCAGAGUUCAACCGGCGAAAGCCGGCGGCCCGCAAGGGCGAUCUGCACAGGUGCUGCAUGGCUGUCGUCAGCUCGUGCCGUGAGGUGUUGGGUUAAGUCCCGCAACGAGCGCAACCCUUGUCCUAUGUUAAAUUCUCAUAGGAGACUGCCUUGUACAGCAAGGAGGAAGGAAAGGAUGACGUCAAGUCAGCACGGCCUUUAUGUCCUGGGCUACACACACGCUACCAUGGACGAUACAGAGGGUUGCUAAGGAGCGAUCUGGAGCUAAUCCCCGAAAAUCGUCCUCAGUUCGGAUUGCAGGCU
rnacentral:rRNA from 1 species